GGAAUAUUGCACAAUGGGCGCAAGCCUGAUGCAGCCAUGCCGCGUGUAUGAAGAAGGCCUUCGGGUUGUAAAGUACUUUCAGCAGUGAGGAAGGGGGUGUCGUUAAUAGCGGCAUCUCUUGACGUUAGCUGCAGAAGAAGCACCGGCUAACUCCGUGCCAGCAGCCGCGGUAAUACGGAGGGUGCGAGCGUUAAUCGGAAUUACUGGGCGUAAAGCGCAUGCAGGUGGUUUGUUAAGUCAGAUGUGAAAGCCCGGGGCUCAACCUCGGAACUGCAUUUGAAACUGGCAAACUAGAGUACUGUAGAGGGGGGUAGAAUUUCAGGUGUAGCGGUGAAAUGCGUAGAGAUCUGAAGGAAUACCAGUGGCGAAGGCGGCCCCCUGGACAGAUACUGACACUCAGAUGCGAAAGCGUGGGGAGCAAACAGGAUUAGAUACCCUGGUAGUCCACGCCGUAAACGAUGUCUACUUGGAGGUUGUGGCCUUGAGCCGUGGCUUUCGGAGCUAACGCGUUAAGUAGACCGCCUGG
rnacentral:rRNA from 1 species